rnacentral:rRNA from 1 species
CACGUAGGGGGCAAGCGUUGUCCGGAUUUAUUGGGCGUAAAGAGCUCGUAGGUGGUUCGGUAAGUCAGGUGUGAAACCUCCAGGCUCAACCUGGAGACGCCACUUGAUACUGCUGUGACUGGAGUCCGGUAGGGGAGCGUGGAAUUCCUGGUGUAGCGGUGAAAUGCGCAGAUAUCAGGAGGAACACCAGUGGCGAAGGCGAGUCCCUGGACAACUCCUGACACUAAGGCACGAAAGCUAGGGGAGCAAACAGG